rnacentral:tRNA from 2 species
GGAGCUGUGCCCGAACAUUAGGGACCACUUUGAUAAAGUGUACUACGAAGGUUAGAAUCCUCCCAACUCCU